rnacentral:lncRNA from 1 species
UUAUAUAAAUUUUCUUAAAAUCUUGAUUUCAUUCAUUGUCACUCUAAAAUUUCACUCCUUUCAUCCACCAACGAUAAAAAAAUCCUGAUGUUCAAUUAAUCUUUAUGGAAGAUUAAAGAGUGAAUCAAAACAUCUUCCAUUCAUACUCGAUUGCAUAUAAAUAAGUGAAUCUUUUCUUCUUUUUCAAUAACGCUGAUUUCAAUUUUCUUCUUCUUGUUCAACUGCACUGUACGACAGUUUCAAUUUUACAUAAUCUACUUAAACUUAGUUUACAUAACCUACUUAAACUUAGUUUAAGUAUGUACAUUUAAACUCAGUUUACAUGACCUAAUUAAACUAAGUUUACAUGUACAUAUUUAAACUGAUAUUACGUAUAAUCAUUGAACACGGUUGAACUUUUAGAUGCACACUAAAACUUAGUUUACAUGAUCUACUUAAACUGAGUUUAAGUAUGUACACCUAAACUUAGUUUACAUGACCUACAUAAAAUAAGUUUACAUGUACAUACUUAAACUGAGAUUACGUAGAAUCAUUGAACAAGGUUGAACUUUUAAAUGUACACCUAAACUCGGUUUACAUGACCUACUUAAACCGAGUUUAAGUAUGUAAACUUAAACUCAGUUUACAUGACCUAUUGAAACUAAGUUUACAUGACCUACUUAAACUGAAGAGGGACUUUAGGGUGUAACCAAGAAAAAAGGAAGAUGCUUUUUGAAAAUUAAUUUUAUGGAAGGGUAAUUUUGUCAUUUUGGGAUGCAACUAGGAUUAAACAGGAUGUAAUUAGAAAAACUCUAAGUUUAACGUAUUGUAGGAUAUUUUAUAUAUAAAAACAUUUUUUUGAAGGAUAAUUAAAAUCAUUUAAAUUUAAUCUUAUGGAAUAGUAUUAAACUUUAUAGAUGGAUGAAUUCAUCAACAUUCUCAUUCGCAUAAAGUCUUCGAUUGUCAUGUAUAUACAAAAUAAAUUAGAAUUAAAGACUUAUAUGUUCGUGUGAUACAUCAGGGAGAAAUACAACGGCCUACAAGGCUUUCCCUCGUGCACUAUCGCCCUAUUGAAUUCUAAUUAAGUUGUCCCUCGCUAACUCUCAGUUGGUUUCAUCUAUCGUUGAACUAAAGUGGGUUUUAGAAUAAUGUCUUUAAAGUUUAAAUGAUGAUAAUAUAUAAAAGAAUAUUUGGAUACUCUAAUGUGUGUUCAGGUGUGCAAAACCAUAAAAUUAAAUUUUCAAUUAAAGGUUAAGUUUAGGUCCUGAUAUAUCAGGCUCUGAACAUAAAGGAAAUCAUUUUGGUAACAAAGAAAAGCAUUGGAAACUUCUUAAAAAUUAAAAGAUGAUAUGAAGAAAGGUUAACAAAAAUUCACAGGUGUGAUCAAAAGAUGCAUCAAGUCUUGAAGACUGAUGAGAAGAAGCACUGAUGGAUGCAUACUCUAAAGGAAGCAAGUUUUGAUGAACAUGUCAGUAGUUUGGGUGA